rnacentral:lncRNA from 1 species
CCAACAUCCAGCGGGGCUGCGCUCUGCUCUCCAUGGGCUUUGUCACCUUCAAAGGGGCCCGGUGUGGGGGUCCGGAGGAAGCACUGCAGCCAACAAACACACGGGGCUCCGUUUCCUCCUCACUCCUUGCAGAGCCAGCGGGUUCCUGCAGGCAGCCCCGAAGAAAGGCGCCUUGUUGGAAAACAGAGGGGCUUUUUUUCUCUCGUGGCCACCUAAAAUACCACGUGUCACUGGUGAUGUUUGCGUUUCGAGGACGAGGUGUGGAAAUGGGGAACUGCUGAGCACACGCCCUGAGAUGCUGUGAGAGGGAACAGAAAACACCUGCGGAGCGGAUUUGAGGCGAUAAUCCAUCGAGAGAGGGGAAAUGGAGCAGCGCGCCGCAGAGCGUGUGCACAGCGAAGCCUUGAAGCGGAGCGCAGGGCUGGCCCUGCUCUGAGCGAUGGGCUGAACUCAAAGGCAGGAGCUGGGAGCGGUGACCUUCGCUCACGCUGGAGCAUGGAGAAGGCAGAGGAGGCUGUGGGGCCUCCCGUGACCACAGGCAGUGCUCAGAGGCUCUGUGAUGGACGGACCCUCAGCCCCCUGCAGGGACGCCAUGCCCCCAGCAAGCACAGCAGCCCCUCGGGAUGCACUGUGGCUCUCCUGCUGCCCCCCAUCAGCAGUUUGGGCUUUCUCCAGCAUGUGCUUUCCCAAAGGCUCUGUUUGUGUUUGCAGCGCCUUUGUUUGCUGCAGAUCUUCAUUGCCCACAGUUAUUGCCUUCACCACCCUCUAUGCCCCACCACUGCACCGCGCUGCCAGCUGGGGAUAGGCUUACCCAGGGCAGGGGUGCUUUAUGGGUUUCAUAAAUCCUCUCCAUACAUCCUUUACUACUUUCACCUUUACG